UACGUAGGGGGCAAGCGUUAUCCGGAUUUACUGGGUGUAAAGGGAGCGUAGACGGAUGGACAAGUCUGAUGUGAAAGGCUGGGGCUCAACCCCGGGACUGCAUUGGAAACUGCCCGUCUUGAGUGCCGGAGAGGUAAGCGGAAUUCCUAGUGUAGCAGUGAAAUGCGUAGAUAUUAGGAGGAACACCAGUGGCGAAGGCGGCUUACUGGACGGUAACUGACGUUGAGGCUCGAAAGCGUGGGGAGCAAACAGG
rnacentral:rRNA from 1 species